UUACUCAUGAUGAAACAUCGCGCAUGAAACAGAAAUAGACUGAGGCAAUCACGCAGUGACAGAAAGCUUCCAUCACUUGAGUAUUUAGCUUUCACUGCUUGAGAAGUGGGCAUUUGGCAUCUGUGGGGAUCGUGAGCUUUCUUGGCGCUGCUGUCUUGCCAAUUCAAUUGUCCAGAACAUGCUGUCAGUGGAAUCCUGAUAAAUGCUCUUGAAGAUGUCACAGCAAAGCUCAGCCUUAAUGCGAAACACAUGCGGGUUCUACUAAUCUUAUUCCAAGAAAGCAUAAUUUGGAGGAGAAAAGAAGUGACUAACAUAUGCAAAUGGAAGAUUAAAAGUGAAGAAUGAGGCCUACUGCAAUUA